CCUACGGGAGGCAGCAGUGAGGAAUAUUGGUCAAUGGGCGUAAGCCUGAACCAGCCAAGUAGCGUGAGGGAUGAAGGUUCUAUGGAUCGUAAACCUCUUUUAUAAGGGAAUAAAGUGCGGGACGUGUCCCGUUUUGUAUGUACCUUAUGAAUAAGGAUCGGCUAACUCCGUGCCAGCAGCCGCGGUAAUACGGAGGAUCCGAGCGUUAUCCGGAUUGAUUGGGUUUAAAGGGUGCGUAGGCGGCCUUUUAAGGCCGCGGUGAAAGGCUGUGGCUCCACCAUAGAAUUGCCGUUGAUACUGGGAGUCUUGCUUAUGUUUGAGGCAGGCGGAAUCCGUUGUGUAGCGGUGAACUUCUUCGCUAUCACGC
rnacentral:rRNA from 1 species